UCUUAUCGCUAUGGCAGACCAGCUUUCUGUGAAACCCUCUUUCUGCACACAGGUGCCGUUCUGCUCUCAGUCGCUGAAAGUUUUGAGGAGGAAAUAUCACCAUCAUCUGCAGAGGAGAAAACAGCUUCUCCAGAGGCAGUAAGGCACACAGAGGUUUCCCCUAGUGAAGAAUCAGCUCAUGAGCUUGUACAGACAGAAGAAGGGCAGUUGUCCACAGAGAAGAUUCCAUCACAUUCUGAUGUUGUUCAGCUCUCAGUCUCUCAGACUUGUGACGACGAAACAUUACCAUUAUCCACCAAAGAGGAAAUGGUUUCCAGUCCAGUGGCAGUAAAGCACACAUUGGAUUUCCCUGAUGAAGAACCAGCUCAUGAGCUUGAACAGAAAGAAGAACAGGGACAGUUGUCCACAGAGAAGAUGUUUCCAUCACAUUCUGGUGUCAUUUUGCUUUCAGUCUCUGGGACUUGUGAAGAAGAAAUAUCACCAUCAUCUGCAGAAGAGAAAACGGCUUCCAGUCCAGAGGCAGUAAAGCACACAUUGGAUUUCCCUGAUGAAGAAUCAGCUCAUGAGCUUGAACAGACAGAAGAGAAACAGUCGUCAACAGAGAAGCUGUUUCCUUCACGUUCUGGUGCAGUUGUCUUCAAAUAUGGCAUAUAGUUGUCUUGUUUAAAGCUUCAAAAUGUAACUGUCUUGUCC
ensembl:lncRNA